CGGGUGAGUAAACGCGUGGGUAACCUACCCUGUACACACGGAUAACAUACCGNAAGGUAUACUAAUACGUGAUGANAUAUCGGACAGGCAUCUGUCAGAUAUCAAAGGUCAGCCGGUACAGGAUGGACCCGCGUCUGAUUAGCUAGUUGGUGAGAUAAAAGCUCACCAAGGCGACGAUCAGUAACCGACCUGAGAGGGUGAUCGNCCACAUUGGAACUGAGACGCGGUCCAAACUCCUACGGGAGGCAGCAGUGGGGAAUAUUGCACAAUGGGCGAAAGCCUGAUGCAGCAACGCCGCGUGAGUGAUGAAGUUUUCGGAUCGAAAAACUCUGUCCUCAAGGAAGAUAAUGACGGUANNNGAGGAGAA
rnacentral:rRNA from 1 species